rnacentral:rRNA from 1 species
GAUGAACGCUAGCUAUAGGCUUAACACAUGCAAGUCGCGGGGCAGCAUGUUGGUUGCUUGCAACCGAUGAUGGCGACCGGCGCACGGGUGAGUAACGCGUAUCCAACCUACCUAUUACCACGGGAUAACCCGGCGAAAGUCGGACUAAUACCGUAUGUUGUCCUCCAAUGGCAUCGGCAGUGGACUAAAGGUUUGGCGGUAAUAGAUGGGGAUGCGUCCGAUUAGCUAGUUGGUGAGGUAAUGGCUCCCCAAGGCUUCGAUCGGUAGGGGUUCUGAGAGGAAGGUCCCCCACACUGGAACUGAGACACGGUCCAGACUCCUACGGGAGGCAGCAGUGAGGAAUAUUGGUCAAUGGACGAGAGUCUGAACCAGCCAAGUAGCGUGCAGGAUGACUGCCCUAUGGGUUGUAAACUGCUUUUAUGCGGGGAUAAAGUGAGUUACGUGUAACUUAUGGCAG